UACGGAGGGUGCAAGCGUUGUCCGGAUUUAUUGGGUUUAAAGGGUUCGUAGGCGGUAUUGUAAGUCAGUGGUGAAAUCCUUCGGCUCAACCGAAGAACUGCCAUUGAUACUGCAGUACUAGAGUAUAAUUGAGGUAGUUGGAAUGCGUAGUGUAGCGGUGAAAUGCAUAGAGAUUACGCAGAACGCCAAUUGCGAAGGCAGAUUACUAAAUUAUUACUGACGCUGAUGAACGAAAGCGUGGGGAGCGAAC
rnacentral:rRNA from 1 species